ACCUAGCUAGCUCAGUUGGUUAAGAGUGUGGUGCUGAUAAUGCCAAGGUUGCAGGUUCAGUCCCCAUAUGGGACA